GCCCCCGUAACUCAGCGGUAGAGCGGGAGACGAUGGCUCCAGGCCGCUGGUUCGAGCCCAGCCGGUGGCA